rnacentral:rRNA from 1 species
ACCGGCAGCUCAAGUGGUGGCCAUUAUUAUUGGGCCUAAAGCGUUCGUAGCCGGUUUGAUAAGUCUCUGGUGAAAUCCCGCAGCUUAACUGUGGGACUUGCUGGAGAUACUAUCAGACUUGAGGUCGGGAGAGGUUAGGGGUACUCCCAGGGUAGGGGUGAAAUCCUAUAGUCCUGGGAGGUCCACCUGUAGCGAAGGCGCCUAACUGGAAAUAACCUGACUGUGAGUAACGAAAGCCAGUGGCGUGAAUCG